AAUGAGUAGGGCGAAGGCCCUAGUGUCUGGCAUUCUGGGCCCCUCGGCCGCGCGUUCGCAGCGGGCGAUGUUAGUGGGCUUGGGUGUUGGGUGAAGUAUCCAGGUUGGGUGCUUCCAGCGCUUUCUGUGGCGGGGGAAUGAGGGCCUAGGUCAGGGAAUAGGAGGGUGUAUCGCCGCCGGAGUGCGGAACACCCUCGCCUUGAGGGUUCCCACAGUGACUUGCAAAAGUCUAGUGAGACCCGAGAAGGCUGAGGCGGGACACGAAGCAUGUGGUUCUUGUGGUUGCGACGCUCGUGCCGCCAUCUUGGGUGCUGGCGGCGGAAACCGGUACCCUAACUUCCUCUCGGUGCGAACCUGGAGAAGCCACCCCAGCUGUGAGGGACGGUUGCGCCUCAUGGCCCAGGCAAGGGUACCUUCGCUGGAGCAGUUCCGCGGACGGAUAUCAUGAGGGUGGUGGGACGUUGGUGGAACGUUGAUGGUGUGAGAGGUGUGGGGUAAUGGCGAUUUUUGUCAUGGUAGAAACACCCCAAAGGACCCCCCUCGUUUGGCCUCCCACGCAGCUUAGUCUUGCUUUUUUAGGGAUGUUUCUCAAUUUUAAUUUCUCCAGUCCCAUCUGGUUAUAUUUCUAAAACAUGUUUGUGACUCUCAAACGUUAGUUUACUCCCAGCAUCACUUGGGGAGCUUGCUAGGCUACGAAUUCCGAGGUCCCACUGGAGAGUCUGAUUUAAUGACCCUGGAGUGGCGGCCAGAUAACCUGCCUGCUGGGGUGAUUUUAACGCAGCUGAUGCGAAGACCCCAUUUAGGGAAUCAUUGGGUUGGCGUUUGCAAAGCGUUCCUCCCAGCUAUAGGACAAAGAGGUGUCAACUCAACUCUGUCUUCUUAGAAGAGCCGAUUAUUUAUAGGCUGGACUGGAACUCCUGGACUCAAGCGAUCUUCCCAUUUAGCAGGGACUACUGACGCGUGUCUCCCAAUAAAUGCCUGAGUAUAAACAA